rfam:Myotis lucifugus cont2.11012, whole genome shotgun sequence.
UGACCCAGAGAGAGAAGCAGGGUCUGAUCCCCAGCCUCCGUGGCAGCUGUUGAUCAGCUCUUGCCUCUCUUUCUCUCCG